rnacentral:rRNA from 1 species
UACGUAGGGGGCAAGCGUUGUCCGGAUUUAUUGGGCGUAAAGAGCGUGUAGGCGGCCAGAUAGGUCCGUUGUGAAAACUGGAGGCUUAACCUCCAGCUGUCGAUGGAAACCAUCUGGCUAGAGUCCGGAAGAGGAGAGUGGAAUUCCUGGUGUAGCGGUGAAAUGCGCAGAUAUCAGGAAGAACACCCGUGGCGAAAGGCGG